GGUGGAGGGACUGGCCCUAUGAAACCCGGCAACCUAUUUAAUUAGGUGCUAAUUCCAGCGGAUAACCGAGAGAUGAG
rnacentral:ncRNA from 1 species